ensembl:lncRNA
AAAAAAAACGUAUAUCCAAGUACGUGACGCUACGUUCACUUGCGGCCGUAUACGUUCCAGAGGAAUCGCAGAGGUCGUCCUUUUCGGGUAGCUCGGAGUUUACGACCGGUGACACGAUGUCGAUCUUUGACACGGCUGAGCCGAUGGAGCUUCCUCUAGCUGUAAUUUCAGUGCCGUGGAGUCUACCAACACAUCUGAGCGCUGUCACCAACGGUUAUUAAACUGUCCGCGUGGAAGAAAUCAUUUCUUCGAAGCCUUUGGAAAAUUUGUAGCGUUCAAUUAUUACGGUUCCGCGCAACAUCAAAAGCGCAAUUUCUAUUCGAACGCAACUAAAAAAAAAAAAAAACCCCCACAACAUUAGGGUUGAAUCUUUUCACCGGAGACAUCUUUCCGCACUGACAUGGCAUCCGGAAUCCAUGCUAGCAUUUUCCCCCAGCCCAUUAUGAUGAAAAUGAAACAAAGCCUUGAAAGGACCCUGAACUUACAGAAAGACAAGUAGUGCAUUGUAAAUAAAGGCUUGUGCCAGAAAGCUGCUUGCUAAAUCCCAGCGACGCCGCUUCCUCUCCCGGCAUACUUUACAGCAUGCACGUUAUAAACAAAUCAGCUUGCGCCACUUAGCAUAAUUACACUCCUCCCAAAGGAAGUGGAAUUGUCAGGAGAUUUAUUUAUUUAUUUAUUUUUUUAAACAAGUGAACUGUUUACCUAUGUAUCAUGGCUGCAUGCGCCUGUCUAAAUCUUUGCACCUUAUUACGGGAAGAUUGGUGCAAACAAACCAGGUCUCUCUGAAAUGUCAGGAAAGAUAAAUACUCUUCAGCCCAAGAUGGCGUCAGUUUUGUAGAAACGGCCAGCGGUGCUAGCGGUGACGGAAUUUAAAUAGCAAAGAGAAGAUGUAGUGCAACUGAGAGGAAAACGGCAACUUUCCUAAAGAUUCACAGUUGUGAACCUGCUGAAAAUAUGACUGAAGACCAUUGUUUGCAGUUAUUUAUAUUACAGUGCUGUGAAAGAGUCCUUUCUUCUGCUUUUGUGUGAGUCUCGUACUAAAUAGUUUUGGAUCUUCCAAUGAAAUACAACAUGAAACAAAGGCAACCCGAGUGAACACACAGUACAGUUUUUAUUUACUGAAAAAAAAAAAAAAGGUUAUCCAACACCUAUCGCCCGUGUGGAAAACUAAUUGCCCCCUUAAACUCUUAAAAUCUGGUAGUGCCACCUUUAGCAGCAAUAACAGCAACCAAAAGCUUCCGAGAACCGGAGGUCAGCGUUUCACAGCGCCGUGGUGGAAUUUUAGCCCACUCUUCUUUGCAGAACUGCUUCAGUUCAGCCACGCUGGAGGGUUUUCGAGCAUGAACUGCCUGUUUAAGGUCCACAGCAUCUCAAUUGUCUUCUCAAAGCAAAUUUAGAAAUUCUUACAGAAUGUAGCUUUAGAGCCCUGAUGAGCAAGCCAGAGGUGACCAUGUCAAGGAAAAGCUCCCUGAGAUCACAUGAGGAACCAGACUUGAAACUUGAAAAGGAACCAUCUCGCCUUCACUCGGUCAGUCUAUAA